UGAGAACCCUCCAGAGUGGGACCUAUAAGGAACAGAUGCAUUAGAAGAAACUACUGGUGUUCAGGAAGAUUGAAAGUGGUAAAGGAUGGUCAACCUCAUGAGCUGCCUGCUAAAAUUCAGCCAUGACUAUCAAUCACAAGCUGCAUGUGGAGUCCAAACAUCACCUGCCAUGGGGGAAAGGCUUUGGCAGUCAUUAGCAUCGGUGUGGUAAGGUACAGCCAAUCCUCAGAGCUAUCUGUGAGGAAUCACCAAUAGUUCAAAACAAAGAGACAGACAGACUAGCUAUAGAUUAACAUCAGGAGAAUCAGGUAAAAUGUACUCCAGAUUUGCCUUAUGAAAAAGGCCUACCUACAGUUUGGUGUAUACCAUGGUGCUAUACCUCUAAUCUCCUUGAAUGCAUAGACUACAUGAGUACUGGAUGUUAAAAAGAUUCUGGUGAUGUUGAUGAAGAAGUUCUUCCUUGGUUAGUAAUGAAGACUUGGGCAUGUUCCAAC
rnacentral:lncRNA from 1 species